GGAGGGGAGUGUUACGAACCCACCUAAUCUGUAAUCCUUUAGUACGGUUGCUCCCGCACUAGAAUUUUCGGUAUUUAAUGAAUGUUUGUUAUGGUGGCUACGCGCGGGUAAAUACCCUAUAUAAGCACUGACUGGCUUUUAUUCGCUCUCAGUUGGUGCCCAUGUACAACCAUUAUGUGCGAUUUUCAUUAGCGCGUCGUUGAGCCAGCAUCUCCCGCCGUCCUACCGAUCUACGUACCCCUCAUCGCUGGAUCGUGGCCGAGGCUGACGGUACUACCGGACGAGACCUGGACUGUCGUGGCCUGCUUGAUGUGGCUGACUUCCCGGUGCUCAACGCUGACUUACCUGUGGCUUGGCUGAUCUACGGUUGGGUGCGGAGAUGCUUGGUUCGACGGCUGCGCUGAUACCGUUGUGGGCACUGGCUGGGCGGGGCCUGUUCCUGCUACUGGUUCCUUAUUGGUUGUUAACUUGUUGAAUGCCUUGCACACGCUGUUCGACGCCAUCAUUUCCAACUAUGACGUCUACAAGGUUGAAAGCAUCGACGAUGCCUACAUGUUGGUCUCCUGCCUACUGAUCCGUAAUGGCAGCCGUCAUGCUGGUAUGAUCGUCUCCGCUGCAUGGCAUCUCCUGCAGGGCGUUGAUAGUUGAUCAUGCCACACAAACAAGAUGAGAAACUCAAACUCCGCAUCGGUAUUCACUCAGGGCAAAGGUGAAAGCCUGACGUACUGGCUCGAGGGACAUGAUCCAAGCUA